rnacentral:misc_RNA from 1 species
AACCUAGCACACCUGCGGUGUGUACCUGCGGAGGGAUCAUUACAUGAUUUAACAGGGAGUGGAGGCUUCGGCCAAAGCUCUGUCUGAACCCAUGUCUUUUGCGUACUUCUUGUUUCCUCGGUGGGCUUGCCCGCCGAUAGGACAACCUUAAACUCUUUGCAAUUGCAAUCAGCGUCUGAAAAACUAUAAUAGUUACAACUUUUAACAACGGAUCU